GCGACGGUUCCUCGUACACAUCUCUCUCCCGUAUCCUCCUCCUCCUCCCAGCCCACUCAUGGCGGCGCGCCGGCGCUCGCUCCGCCGCCUUUCCGCUCGCCCCACCGCCCUUCCCUAGCCUAACCGCCCAGCACCGCUUCAUGUGGCCUCGCCGCCCUCCCCGGGCCCCCGACGCCGGCCUCCAACGACCCCGACGAGGCCCGACGCCAACCUCACAGGACCCCGGCGUGGCCCGACGCCGUCCUCCCAGGUCCUCCACGACAGCUGCUGGGGCGGCCUCCCAGGCUCCCACCGCCGCCCUCCCUAGCCCUCGAUAGCAGCUUCCGACUCGGCUCUCCCCAGCAGCUCAGCGCCAUACUCCCAGGGCCCUCAACCUUAUUCAAUGGGAGAUUUCAAAGUAGAAAUAGAUGUCUAGUCUUACUUGACGAUUGUAGAUGGCAGAAGAGUGUACAUAAGGGGCAAAACAUGGAAUUUUAUGGCCGGUCGGGGCUUGUCUGUGGCGCGGAUAAAGGAGGUUGUGGAGGAGAGGUACAAAUGGUCUGCUGAUCAGAGAAUGACCAUUUGGUAUGGAUCCGGAGAUAACGCCGUCCCAUUGAUCUCUGAAUCAGAGAUAGCCCAAUUGUUUGAUACAUGUUCUAACACAAAAGUAGUAAGGUUCGGUGUGACCAUUGAGAGCAAACAACAACGCAAUGAACCUGCUCCUGUCAUGACUGAGGAGAUGGAUGAUCAGCCUGUUCACGCUCCAUUCUUUGCUUGGCUGAAGCAAGCCUAUGAAGGAGAGUACGAGGAUGAUGAGCCUGUGGGAUUGAAUCAGGAGAACACCUAUUUGCAUGAGGAGAAUGCUGAAUCAAAGGAGAAUGCCACACCACAGAAAAAUGUCGAGCCAAAGGCUGCAAGAGUUCCAUUGGGAACCCUGGAUGUUGACAACUCUUAUGAUCCACAACAUGUGCGAGGGGAUGAUGAGGCUUUACUUGCGAACAAUAUGGCUCCUACUUAUAUCCACGAUAAAAACAAUCCUCGAAUUGAAGUAGGAGCCACAUUUCCUAACUCUAAAGCAUUUAGAGUUGCAUGGAGACAACUAGCAAAAGGUGUGGAGCAUUAGGUCAUCUUCGGAAGACAUGCAAGGAGCCAGAGAUUGAAAGUGACGCGGACCGAGAUGCUACUCCUCCUCCACGGAAAAAAAUCAAAGGUUGAAGCAAGCAUUGCAGCUACUUCUUCUCCUAUUACACCAACUAAGCAAGGUACUCAACUUGGUACUCCUACAAGUCCAAUGACAAGGCAAAGGGCAGCAGCUAUUGCAAUUGCUUCAACACCUCCUAGUGCCUCUACAAGGAGCAAAACUGCUGCUCCUAGCCCUCUUCGCAAUGCCAUGUGAAGGAGGAUAUCAGCAAGCUUUUGGAUGUUGGGCGCUCCAGAUCAGAUAUAUGGAUUUUGGUUCGUCAAUCAGGGAGAGCAGAGAGCUGCAUUUCCUUAGUCAGUUGCAGUUCUAACCGUUUUUAUUAUAACUUGUAGCAAAUUAAUUAGACACUAUGUAACCGGAGCAAGUACUCCUAUCCUAUGGUACGAUGACUGUUUGCAACUGUGUUUGCAUGCUUAGUAGCAGAAUGGUGUAUGUGAUCAGGAGGUGCUCUUUUGCUAAUUGUUAUAUUGUGCUGUGAGAACCA